GUAUAAUGAAAAUUGAUUUUAAU
rnacentral:miRNA from 15 species